rnacentral:rRNA from 1 species
UACGUAGGGGGCAAGCGUUGUCCGGAAUCAUUGGGCGUAAAGAGCGUGUAGGCGGCCUGGAAAGUCUGGUGUGAAAUCUUUCGGCUCAACCGGAAGCGGUCACUGGAUACUGUCAGGCUUGAGUCCGGAAGAGGAGUGUGGAAUUCCUGGUGUAGCGGUGGAAUGCGCAGAUAUCAGGAGGAACACCAAUGGCGAAGGCAGCACUCUGGUACGUGACUGACGCUGAGACGCGAAAGCGUGGGGAGCAAACAGG